GAGCUGUCCUUAGUACGAGAGGACCGGGAUGGACUGACCUCUGUUGGACCUGUUGGAGAUCAACUCCAGUGCAGGGUAGGCAUGUCGGGACUGGAUAAACGCUGAAGGCAUCUAAGCGUGAAGCCACCCUCAAGAUGAGAUAUCCCAUCGCAAGAGUAAGACCCCUUGAAGACUACGAGGUAGAUAGGGCUAAGCUGUAAGUGCUGUAAAGCAUUCAGGUGAUAGUUACUAAUAGGUCGAGGGUUUGACCA
rnacentral:rRNA from 1 species